CCUACGGGAGGCAGCAGUGGGGGAUAUUGCACAAUGGGGGGAACCCUGAUGCAGCGACGCCGCGUGGGUGAAGGAGCGUUUCGGCGCGUAAAGCCCUAUCGGCAGGGAAGAAGAUGACGGUACCUGGCCAAGAAGCCCCGGCUAACUACGUGCCAGCAGCCGCGGUAAUACGUAGGGGGCAAGCGUUAUCCGGAUUUACUGGGUUUAAAGGGUGCGUAGGCGGUCCGUUAAGUCAGCGGUAAAAUUGCGGGGCUCAACCCCGUCGAGCCGUUGAAACUGGCAGGCUUGAGUUGGCGAGAAGUACGCGGAAUGCGCGGUGUAGCGGUGAAAUGCAGAGAUAUCGCGCAGAACUCCGAUGGCGAAGGCAGCGUACCGGCGCCAGACUGACGCUGAGGCACGAAAGCGUGGGGAUCGAACAGGAUUAGAUACCCUGGUAGUC
rnacentral:rRNA from 1 species